CCUACGGGUGGCUGCAGUCGAGAAUCAUUCACAAUGGGGGAAACCCUGAUGGUGCGACGCCGCGUGGGGGAAUGAAGGUCUUCGGAUUGUAAACCCCUGUCAUGUGGGAGCAAAUUAAAAAGAUAACACCACAAGAGGAAGAGACGGCUAACUCAGUGCCAGCAGCCCAGGUAAUACAGAGGUCUCAGGCGUUGUUCGGAAUCACUGGUCGUAAGGCGUACGUAGGCUUUUUUGUAAGUCGUGUAGUAAAGGCGCGGGCUCAAGCCGCGGACGGCACAUGAUACUGCGAGACUAGAGUAAUGGAGGGGGAACCGGAAUUCUCGGUGUAGCAGUGAAAUGCGUAGAUAUCGAGAGGAACACUCGUGGCGAAGGCGGGUUCCUGGACAUUAACUGACGCUGAGGCACGAAGGCCAGGGGAGCGAAAGGGAUUAGAUACCCGGGUAGUC
rnacentral:rRNA from 1 species